UACAGAGGGGGCAAGCGUUGUUCGGAAUUACUGGGCGUAAAGGGCGCGUAGGCGGCCUUCUAAGUCGAACGUGAAAUCCCUGGGCUCAACCCAGGAACUGCGUCCGAUACUGGAAGGCUUGAAUCCGGGAGAGGGAUGCGGAAUUCCAGGUGUAGCGGUGAAAUGCGUAGAUAUUGGGAGGAACACCGGUGGCGAAGGCGGCUCACUGGACCGGUACUGACGCUGAGACGCGAAAGCCAGGGGAGCAAACGGG
rnacentral:rRNA from 1 species